UAUAUUUAUGAAGUGUUUUCAAGUGGAUCGAGCUGCCGUUACUGACCAGUGAACUGAACUGCUGAUUUCCUGACAACACAGAUGAGAUUUGCUCCAAAGAACCAUUUCUAAACAGCUUCCUGAUAUCUUCCAGGUCACAGGCCAUUAAGCUCCAGAUCUCCAGCUUGUACUGCCUCAGGGAUAUCAACCAUCACCAUCAGUGCUGGCGCCUGCCUCCUACCAUCUAGAAGUUCCUGACCUUCAAUUGAUGUCAGUCUUGUCUUCAACCGCUUAAGAUAUGCUCUUCCUCUCCUCAUGCAAGUCUGACAACUGGGGAUCAGGUCAGCAGUGCAAAGCAGGGUCCUUCCAUGCUCAGAAUGGAUGGAUGUAGAGGAAAAGGUCAAAAAACAAGGGUGGAUGUUUCCAAACUUCAAUAAUUAAACUCUGACACCUUGGAGCCUGA
rnacentral:lncRNA from 1 species